rnacentral:rRNA from 1 species
GAUGAACGCUGGCGGCGUGCUUAACACAUGCAAGUCGAGCGAAGCACUUAAGAAUGAUUCUUCGGAUGAAUUCUUUUGUGACUGAGCGGCGGACGGGUGAGUAACGCGUGGGUAACCUGCCUCAUACAGGGGGAUAACAGUUAGAAAUGGCUGCUAAUACCGCAUAAGACCACAGUACUGCAUGGUACAGUGGUAAAAACUCCGGUGGUAUGAGAUGGACCCGCGUCUGAUUAGGUAGUUGGUGAGGUAAUGGCCCACCAAGCCGACGAUCAGUAGCCGACCUGAGAGGGUGACCGGCCACAUUGGGACUGAGACACGGCCCAGACUCCUACGGGAGGCAGCAGUGGGGAAUAUUGCACAAUGGGCGAAAGCCUGAUGCAGCGACGCCGCGUGAAGGAUGAAGUAUUUCGGUAUGUAAACUUCUAUCAGCAGGGAAGAAAAUGACGGUACCUGACUAAGAAGCCCCGGCUAACUACGUGCCAGCCGCCGCCGUAACAC